rnacentral:rRNA from 1 species
CCAAUAGCGUAUAUUAAAGUUGUUGCAGUUAAAAAGCUCGUAGUUGAAUUUCGGGGUCAGCAGGUUGGUCGUGCCUUUGGUACGCACUGGUUUCGCUGAUUCCUCCUUUCUGAAGAACUGUAAUGUCAUUAAUUUGGUGUUGCAGGGAAACAGGACUGUUACUUUGAAAAAAUUAGAGUGUUUAAAGCAAGCUAACGCUUGAAUACAUUAGCAUGGAAUAAUGAAAUAGGACGUUUGAUCCUAUUUUGUUGGUUUCUAGGAUUGACGUAAUGAUUAAUAGGGAUAGUUGGGGGCAUUAGUAUUCAAUUGUCAGAGGUGAAAUUCUUGGAUUUAUUGAAGACUAACUACUGCGAAAGCAUUUGCCAAGGAUGUUUUCAUUAAUCAAGAACGAAAGUUAGGGGAUCGAAGACGAUCAGAUACCGUCGUAGUCUUAACCAUAAACUAUGCCGACUAGGGAUCGGAUGAUGUUAAUUUUUUAAUGACUCAUUCGGCGCCUUACG